rnacentral:rRNA from 1 species
AUGAGCCGCCGGUCCCGCUCCCCCUCGGCCUCGCCGCCGGGCGACCUAGGCAUCCCCUUCCACUGCCCCUCCUCCCCGUCGGAUGACGACGGCAGCUCCUUCCCCGCCCACACGCCGCCGCUGGAGGACGACAACCUCCUCCGCGAGAUCCUCGUCCGCCUUCCUCCGCUGCCGUCCUCGCUCCCGCGCGCCGCCCUCGUCUGCAAGCGCUGGCGCCGCCUGCUCAAGGACCCCGCCUUCUUCCGCCGCUUCCGCGCGCACCACCGGAAGGCCCCGCUCCUCGGCUUCUUCGCCGGCCUGUGCCGCCCAAUCUUCUUCACGCCCACGCUCGACCGGCCGGAUCGCAUCCCCGCCGAGCGGCUCAACCGGUUCAGGGCGAGCGGCGAGGGGCGCGGCCACUUCUGCUGCUGUCGGCACGGCCUCGCCCUCCUCCUCGGCCCGGAGCGGCCCGAAGCCCUGGUGUGGGACCCCGUCACCGGCCACCAGCGCCGGGUGCCUUUUCCGCCAGGGUUCCACAUCAAGAGGCAGGAGACCCUCGUCCGGCAUGCCGCGAUGCUGUGCACUGCCGGCGGCGAUGGCGAUAGCCCGUUUAAGCUGGUCCUGCUACGCUAUAGCCACAACGGGAUCCUUGCUUGCCUCUACGAAUCGGAGUCCGGUGUGUGGGGAAAUGCAGUCAACACAGCGACUCCUCACGAGAUUGAUCCGUUAAGCCAUAGCGUUCUGAUUGGGAAUGCACUUUGCUGGAGGAUCGAUCAUGGUGCCGUCCUUGAGUUUGACACUGAAAGGCAGAGCCUGCGUGUGAUUGAGCGGCCGGCGGAUGCUCGACGUACCUAG